rnacentral:rRNA from 1 species
GAUGAACGCUGGCGGCGUGCCUAAUACAUGCAAGUCGAGCGAACAGACGAGGAGCUUGCUCCUCUGACGUUAGCGGCGGACGGGUGAGUAACACGUGGAUAACCUACCUAUAAGACUGGGAUAACUUCGGGAAACCGGAGCUAAUACCGGAUAAUAUAUUGAACCGCAUGGUUCAAUAGUGAAAGACGGUUUUGCUGUCACUUAUAGAUGGAUCCGCGCCGCAUUAGCUAGUUGGUAAGGUAACGGCUUACCAAGGCAACGAUGCGUAGCCGACCUGAGAGGGUGAUCGGCCCCACUGGAACUGAGACACGGUCCAGACUCCUACGGGAGGCAGCAGUAGGGAAUCUUCCGCAAUGGGCGAAAGCCUGACGGAGCAACGCCGCGUGAGUGAUGAAGGUCUUCGGAACGUAAAACUCUGUUAUUAGGGAAGAACAAAUGUGUAAGUAACUAUGCACGUCUUGACGGUACCUAAUCAGAAAGCCACGGCUAACUACGUG